rnacentral:rRNA from 2 species
GGAUGCGAUCAUACCAGCACUAAAGCACCGGAUCCCAUCAGAACUCCGAAGUUAAGCGUGCUUGGGCGAGAGUAGUAUUAGGAUGGGUGACCUCCUGGGAAGUCCUCGUGUUGCAUUCC